rnacentral:lncRNA from 1 species
CCCGGGGGUCGGCGGAGACCCAGCGGGAGCAGGGGGAAAUCGGAAGAGCUGGGGGCAUGGAGCGGGCGAGUUUGGAGCGGAAUGAGCCGGCACCCGCCACUCGGCCUCCCGGCGCGCUAACCUUGCCCAGCCAGCAGACCUGCUUAGAGCAUCCAAUCGCAUGCGGGGCCUGCUUAGGGUCAGAGAGUUUAUUCCUUCACCAUAGGUUCCAGAGAAAGCUAUCCCCAGAUGCAAGUGAUUGCUAGGAAGUAGAAAAGGGAGCCCUACGUUGUGGAAGGAAGACAACAGUAUAGGACCAUCAGCAGGACCGGACAGAGAGGGGCACGUAAGCAGUAAUUACUGGAUGGCAUAGUAAUUCUACUAAAAAUUAAAAUGCCACUUAUUGGAAUGGUGUGUGAACACUCUAAAGCAACCCGGGAAGAAGACAGCAGUCAAGAAGACCAAGGAAGGAAAUGGAGGAGGGAUGACCCCACCAUUACAGGCAGGGAAGGACUGACCAAAGAGACAGAAAUGUAGUCUAGGAAAUGUGUCAUCUUAGAAAGGAACGGGAAGGGGCUGGAGAGGUGGCUCAGAAGUAAAGAGCAGUGGAUGCUCUUUCAGGGGACCUGAGUUGGCCUCCUAAUGUCUUCAGGUACCUCCUAACUGCAUGUAACUCCAGCUCCGGGAGAUUCUGGAUUCUUCUGGUCUCCACGGCACUGCGUUCACGCGCACGCGCGCGCGCACACACACACACACACACACACACACACAAAUUAAUCUUAGAAAAGCAUAGGAAGCCUGAUUUUUUGUUUGUUUGUUUGUUUUGGGGUUUUUUUUUUGUUUGUUUUGUUUUGUUUUUGAGACAGGGUUUCUCUGUAUAGCCCUGGCUGUCCUGGAACUUGUAGACCAGGCUGGCCUUGAACUCAGAAAUCCGCCUGCCUCUGACUCCCGAGUGCUGAGAUUAAAGGUGUGCACCACCACACCCGACAAGGAAGCCUGUUUUAAGAAGUGAUUCCAUGGAGGAGUUCUGCGGCGGCUCAGGGCUUGACUAAACAGUGGACCUCAGGGUCCCAUUUCUCUCAGUAGACAAGAGAGGCUAAACCAGGCUGCAGGUGACAGGAAGAAUUGAAUAAACUGAAAGCAAAGGGCAGCCUUCUAAUUACGCUUCGUGGCUAUGUGGACAACCUGGAGAAGUCUGGAAACGUGAGUGGUGCUAAUCCCCUUUGUAAUGAAAGGCCCGGGUAAAAACAGAUGGGGCAAGUAGGUGUAAUGGGUAUUUCAGGAGCUUGAAUCUGAUGUCACAGCUUGUCUGGAUGGGACGUGCAUCUACUUGCAGAGCUAUGUUCCCAUCUAGUGUAAUUGUGGGUGUUUUAAUUCAGGCGUCACCUCUAUUUUGUCCUCUCUCCACAGCUUUCCUCCUCCAUUUUACUACUUGAGGGAGCAGUGGGUGGGAUACUAGAAAGAAGCCAGAAGCCCGAAGCCAGCAGUAGAGCUCUGACUGGCUUGUAUGCCUAGAAAGGAAGGGCUCUUCUUUCGCCUCACGGGCACAAAUGGGACCCACGAGCGCCGAUUUCAGACUAUUCUGAUCCCUUCAAAAAGAAAGUUAGGAGUCCAGGCUACGUCACUUUGGUGAUAGUAAUCAAACCCUAAUCACGGUGCAGCCACAAGUCACAGAGACCGAAAUAGCAGACUUAUGACAGACAAGGAUGGAGACAGCUAAGGAACUGGCUAUUAAUCACCAGUCCCUCUGCUCACAGCCCAUUGGACCCGAGGGUGAAGGAUGAGGAGGAUGGAAGAAAAUGGGAGUGGCGCUUGCUGCAAAGGGUCUCGAAGGGUCUCAGCACCUGCGAACUGGCUCCAAUCCAAACUCCACUAUUCAUGGUCAAGUUCACAUAGGGCUUGGGGUUCUAACAAGAUGUGACUAAACUUACGUUUUCUAUCUUAUUGAUUGUUGUUGAUGCACGUCUGGUGGUACAUGCUUGAAGAACACAGACACCCUGAGAAGAAAGACAUAGCUCCCCAGAUUCCAGCACGCACUUCUCUGUGAGCUACCACUGUAGCUGAAGAUACAGGGCUCAGGAGGAACACUUGGCCUUCGCUCUGAACUUCAGGCCCACGUAACCAUCAGCCGACAUGACACUGCAAAGGCACCUUAGCUCUGCUGUCCCAGAUGGCCAAGCCAACCUUAUUCCAGAAGCUACUUCUCCUGAUGUAAGAACCAGACACAAAGGACAACCUCUGCCUCACCCUCCUUCACACAACACUGAGUCUGUCAUCUUUGAAGCAUUUCUCAAGCCAUGUUUAUUCCCCUGGCCUACGUGGAACACAGCCAGGUUUGGCGGACUCCAACUCUUGGGAUAGCUUUUUUUCUGGCCCCAAACUCACCUGAUUCGUCUGUCCACUGCCACACUGAAGAAUGAACAGCUGUCUCAGAGAGCUUGGCUCCAGAGCUCUGCAAAAAGAGGACACCUUGCCUUGAGCUGUGUUUCCAGAAUGUAUUGCAGCCCCCAGAGUCAUGUACUGUGACCAGGUGAGGACAUGCAUCUUCUGUUCUCCUGCACCCAGGGCCCCAGCAACCAAGGAUCUGGGGACAUGGCGGGUGUUUGGCAGGUUCGCACUCUGAAAAUAUUUGAUGAGACUCAGUAUAUGCUAAA